AGUGAACGCUGGCGGUAGGCCUAACACAUGCAAGUCGAACGGCAGCACAGUAAGAGCUUGUUCUUACGGGUGGCGAGUGGCGGACGGGUGAGGAAUACAUCGCAAUCUACUUUUUCGUGGGGGAUAACGUAGGGAAACUUACGCUAAUACCGCAUACGACCUACGGGUGAAAGCAGGGGAUCUUCGCACCUUGCGCGACUGAAUGAGCCGAUGUCGGAUUAGCUAGUUGGCGGGGUAAAGGCCCACCAAGGCGACGAUCCGUAGCUGGUCUGAGAGGAUGAUCAGCCACACUGGAACUGAGACACGGUCCAGACUCCUACGGGAGGCAGCAGUGGGGAAUAUUGGACAAUGGGCGCAAGCCUGAUCCAGCCAUACCGCGUGGGUGAAGAAGGCCUUCGGGUUGUAAAGCCCUUUUGGUGGGAAAGAAAAGCAGCAGGUUAAUACCCCGCUGUUCUGACGGUACCAAAAGAAUAAGCACCGGCUAACUUCGUG
rnacentral:rRNA from 1 species